GCGUGAUAAGGAUUUUAAGACUGCAAUAGAUUGCUAUUCACAGUGUCCUUGGCAAAAGAAUGUCAUGGAUUUUGGAUAUUAUGUCAUGAGAUUCAUGAAAGAGAUCAUCGACCAUAAGCAAACUCGAAUAUUUGAAGAUUACUUUCAUGAUUGCAAUGUUCCUAAUUAUGAUCAUGGACAAAUUGAUGAAGUAAGAGCUUAAUGGACGCGUCAUGGUCUUCUCGUGUGAAUAUUGUGAUGUAUUAAUUAUGUUUUUCGACUAGAAUUUCUCUAGAACGUUUUAAUUUUAUUUUAUUGGUUUGAAAUUAAAAGAAGUACUAUAUGACAAGGAUACUUCUUUCUGUUUUCUAGUUUGUUUUUAUUCUAAUGUGUAUUUAGGCAUAUAUGAUUUUAAGUUAUGCACGAGAC